GGCCGACUGUAAAUGCGUUCGUCAUCCUGCCGGCCAAUCAAAGGGAGCGCAGGGCCGCCUAGACGCACCCCUCUCCGCCGACGGGUCUCCAGUUCCCGCCGCGCGCUCUGGCCCCUUACGUAAGAACCACCGUGACCUCUCACUUCACCUCCCGCGCUGGAACUCUUUCCCGGAUUCGCCAACUGCUGCGGUUCUCUUGGGUGCUGCUUCCGGUCGCGAGGCCUGCCACGUGAUGCCAACCCAGGGGCGGGAGGAAGCCCGAGGUUCUGGGUGUUGAUUAUGUAACUGUCCAAACCGGUAGAAAUAUACUUUGACCUUUUGCUCACUUCGGAACCCUGAAUACAGACUGAACAGAACCAGAAAGUCUUCAGAGACAGAUCUUCACAUCCUCUCUGUUUUUCAAGCACCUUCAAAAGACAAGAAAACCUGUAAGACAGGAAUCUGAUGCUUAAUCUGAAGGAUGCUCAGGCCAAGAUCUAUUUACUCUUGACCCUUCACCCUUGAACCCCCAAGGGGGUUAGGGGUGCUGACCCUCCUCAUAGUCUAAACUCCGAGUAUAACUUAUAGUCGGCCCUCCCUAUACUUGGCUCCUCUAUAUCCAUGGUUCUGCAUCCUCAGGUUCGAGCAACUGUGGAUGUGGAUUGUGUAGCACUGUAGUAUUUACUAUUGAAAAACACCCAGGGCUUCCCUGGUGGUGCAGUGGUUAAGAAUCUUCCUGCCAAUGCAGGGGACAUGGGUUCGAGCCCUGGUCCGGGAAGAUCCCACAUGCCGCGGAGCAACUAAGCCCAUGUGCCACGACUACUGAGCCUGUGCUCUAGAGCCUGCGAGCCACAACUACUGAGCCCAUGCGCCACAACUACUGAAGCCUGUGCGCCUGGAGCCUGUGCUCCGCAACAAGAGAAGCCACUGCAAUGAGCAGCCCGCACACCGCAACGAAGAGUAGCCCCCGCUCACCGCAACUAGAGAAAGCCCGCUCGCAGCAACGAAGACCCAACACAGCCGUAAAUAAAUAAAUGUUUAUUUAAAAAAAAAGAAAAGAAAGAAAAAAACCCACCUGUAAGCAGACCCUUGCAGUUCAAACUCAUGUUGUUCAAGGAUCAACUGUACUUGAAACCAUUCACUGAUGCAGCCUUUAUGAUGUAUGCAUAGACAAGGCAGUCGUGCUAUAGUAUCUCUCUGCUACAGGUCUUCAAGGCAUAUUCCACAUUCCCCAGCAUCUUUACUCAGUAUAUCCUUAGAUUACCAGUUGAUUAUAGAAGAAUAUUAGGAAUAUGGAGUCAGAUGGAAGAAAUGCAUAGGGCAAGGUUAUGUGGGAAGGGGCUUGAAGCUUCCAUCUCUUUUUUUUUAAUAAAAUUAUUUAUUUAUUUAUUUUUGCCUGCAUUGGGUCUUUGUUGCUGCACACGGGCUUUCUCUAGUUGCGGCGAGCGGGGGCUACUCUUCGUUGGCGGUGAGCAGGCUUCUCACUGUGGUGGCUUCUCUUGUUGCGGAAC